rnacentral:rRNA from 1 species
GACGAACGCUGGCGGUGUGCUUAACACAUGCAAGUGGUGCGACGAACCAGAGCUUGCUCUGGGGCAAAGCCGCGAACGGGUGAGUAACACGUGGGUAAUCUACCCCGAUGACCGGGACAACCCGAGGAAACUCGGGCUAAUACCGGAUGUGGUGCGGAGACAUAAGUCUCUUCACUAAAGGUAGCUUCGGCUUCCGCAUUGGGAGGGGCCCGCGGCCCAUUAGCUUGUUGGUGGGGUCAAGGCCUACCAAGGCAACGAUGGGUAGCUGGUCUGAGAGGACGAUCAGCCACACUGGAACUGAGACACGGCCCAGACUCCUACGGGAGGCAGCAGUGGGGAAUCUUGCGCAAUGCGCGAAAGCGUGACGCAGCAACACCGCGUGAGGGAAGAAGGCCUUAGGGUUGUAAACCUCUUUCAGAUGGGACGAAGGUUCUCCGGUGAAUAGCCGAGAGGAUUGACGGUACCGGCAGAAGAAGCUCCGGCUAACUACGUG